rnacentral:lncRNA from 1 species
AUAGGUCAAACAAGGUCAAAGGACCUUGGAGAAAAAAAUUUAUAAUUUUGGAAAACUUAAAACUAUUUUUAAACAAUUAAAAAUAUUCACAAAACCAAUUAAAUCAUGAAAAAUAUUAAUAAUGAUCCAAAAAUAAAUUUUUAUUCAGAAAACGAAAGAGGGAUUUAUUUAAAAAAUAUUGGUGAAACUCUCAUAUUUUUUGGAUCAAUAUUAAAAUUAAUAUGAAUUAAUGAAAAUAAACCAAAUAAAAUGAAAAUCAGAAAAUAAGAAAAAAAACGU